rnacentral:rRNA from 1 species
GACAGAGGGUGCAAACGUCGUUCGGAAUUACUGGGCGUAAAGCGAGUGUAGGCGGUCUUCUAAGUCGGAUGUGAAAGCCCCGGGCUCAACCCGGGAAGUGCACUCGAAACUGGAAGGCUAGAGUAUCGGAGAGGUUGGUGGAAUUCUCGGUGUAGAGGUGAAAUUCGUAGAUAUCGAGAGGAACACCGGUGGCGAAGGCGGCCAACUGGACGAAUACUGACGCUGAGACUCGAAAGCGUGGGGAGCAAACAGG